UAGAUACCCCACUAUGUCUGACCGUAAAUCUACUUACACCCAAACCGCCAGGGAACUACGAGCUUUAGCUUAAAACCCAAAGGACUUGACGGUGUCCCACCCAACUAGAGGAGCCUGUUCUAUAACCGAUAACCCCCGUUCUACCUAACCCCCCUUUGCCUUUUCAGCCUGUAUACCUCCGUCGCAAGUCCGCCAUAUGAAUGCCCUUCAGCGGAUUAAAGGAUUUUUUAUCAAUACGUCAGGUCAAGGUGCAGCCUAUAGGGUGGCAAGCAAUGGGCUACAAUUUCUAACCUAGAACAUACGAAAUACUGCAUGAAACACAGUCACGAAGGAGGAUUUAGUAGUAAAAAGAAAACAGCGUGUUCUUUUUAACGCGGCCCUGGGACGUGUACACACCGCCCGUC
rnacentral:rRNA from 1 species